rnacentral:Y_RNA from 1 species
GGCUGGUCUGAAGGUAGUGAGUUCUUUCAAUUGAUUGUUCACAGUCAGUUAGAGAUCAAAUUCCUUGUUCUACUCUUUCCCCCCCUUCUCACUACUGCACUUGACUAGUCUUAA